AUCACGUUGGAACACCGAUUCCAGUACGAUCACUGAAGUUAAGCAACGUAGAGACUGGUCAGUACCUAGAUGGCUGAUCGCUUCGGAAUAUCAAGUGUUGUAAG